CUGCAGGUCACAUGACCCUCCACCAUGUGACCAGCUCUGAUGAAGGCCUCUACAAGUGUUACCUCAGGGGUCAUGGAGAGUCUCCAUCCAGCAGGAUCUCUGUCUCAGGGAGACACACCACCCCUCCUUUACCUCCAUCCACCUGUCCUCCACCUACAUCCACCCCUCCUCCUCCUUCCAUCUCUCCACCUUUUCUCUACCUGAUCCUUUCCCUUGUGGGUGUUGCUGUCCUGGUUCUACUGCUCUUCCUUAUUCUACACUUUAUUCAGAGGAAACGUGAAGGCUUUCAGGCCUGAGGAGGACCUGCGACUUGGUACUGACCUUCUGCUCGUCGGCUCCAUGACCCAAGUUCUGCCUUCAAUGAAAGCAUCAAGUCAUUUUAAUUGAAGAACCUCAAGUCACCAAUCUUCUCAACAGCAGCAGAAAUAAAAACAUCACCAGCCGUUUAUGCAGAGCUCCCAGCCACUGGUAUGAACUGGUCGCCCUAAACUGGACCUCAUCGCUGUGAAACUUCUUCUAGUGAUGCUGCAUGAAGUCCUCCAUGGUCCCGAUUCUGUAGAUGCUGCAGUCAACCUGUUCUGCAGGACCUUCAAUAGCUGCUGUUGACUCAGCGAUAAGGAGAGGAGACAUCAGUUAGGGUCAAACCAGCCGAGACCCACUGAGACUUCAGCCAGCUUCUGCUUCAAGUCCUGCCUUUCCAAAUAUUUCUGGUAAAUCCAACUAAUUCAGACCCAAUAACAACAGAACUGCCCGAAACUGCCUGAAGUAUGGCAGCUUCAGCAGCAGCUUCCUGUUUCACGGCUUCAGGCUUGGUUUUGGUUCUAGAAAAAUGUUCUGAAGGUCAGAAACAAUCCAACAUCUGCUUUAGACAGAACUAAAUCUAAACGCUGAGCCUACAUUCAGUUUAAACAGCGGAUUGUUUCUACUGACAGCUGCUUCCAACACUCUGUCUGAAGGUGGCGCUGUUGUCUGCUCUGAGCUAUUCAUGUUAUCAUGUAUUUGUAGUUAAAUCAUAUAUUCUGACUUAAUUGUUAAAUAAAAUGCAGUAAAACUAUUAUAGCGAUCUAAUUCAUGUCAUUUACUCCACCUUCACCAACAGCUCCAAAGUCUGCCUCCAUCUGUCUUUUC